rnacentral:rRNA from 1 species
GAUGAACGCUAGCGGCAGGCCUAAUACAUGCAAGUCGGACGGGAUAGGAGAGCUUGCUUUCCUUGAGAGUGGCGCACGGGUGCGUAACACGUAUGUAACCUACCUUUAUCAGGGGGAUAGCCUCUCGAAAGAGAGAUUAAGCCCGCAUAAUAUGAAGACACAGCAUUGUGAUUUCAUCAAAUAUUUAUAGGAUAGAGAUGGGCAUGCGGAACAUUAGCUAGUUGGUAAGGUAAUGGCUUACCAAGGCUACGAUGUUUAGGGGAUCUGAGAGGAUGACCCCCCACACUGGUACUGAGACAUGGACCAGACUCCUACGGGAGGCAGCAGUAAGGAAUAUUGGUCAAUGGGCGCAAGCCUGAACCAGCCAUGCCGCGUGCAGGAAGACGGCCCUACGGGUUGUAAACUGCUUUUGCAGGGGAAUAAACCCCCGUACGUGUACGGGGUUGAAUGUACUCUGAGAAUAAGGAUCGGCUAACUCCGUGCCAGCAGCCGCGGUAAUACGGAGGAUCCAAGCGUUAUCCGGAUUUAUUGGGUUUAAAGGGUGCGUAGGCGGCCUGUUAAGUCAGGGGUGAAAGACGGUAGCUCAACUAUCGCAGUGCCCUUGAUACUGAUG